UACGUAGGGUGCAAGCGUUGUCCGGAAUUAUUGGGCGUAAAGAGCUCGUAGGCGGUCUGUCACGUCGGCUGUGAAAACCCGGGGCUCAACCCCGGGCCUGCAGUCGAUACGGGCAGACUAGAGUGCGGUAGGGGAGACUGGAAUUCCUGGUGUAGCGGUGAAAUGCGCAGAUAUCAGGAGGAACACCGGUGGCGAAGGCGGGUCUCUGGGCCGAUACUGACGCUGAGGAGCGAAAGCGUGGGGGAGCGAACAGG
rnacentral:rRNA from 1 species